AAACAGUAAAGAGCAACAAACACUUUGUGAACAACUUUUUUUUUUCUCUUUGUGAAUUUGAAUUUUAACUUUCCAGUUACUGUGCCUCAAGUGAUAUUUCAAGGCACUGAGGACAAAUGAAUGCCCGGGGGCUCCUUUUUGGACUGUUUAUCUUUUCAUGGGGCAAGAGAUUAUAGAGCAAGACCAACUUCGUUACUGAAGAACAAUUUCUCGCUGCCCUUAUAGGUUAAAAAUUGGCAUUUCAGUCUAAACUCUUGCCCCUGACAGGUAGUUACUUUUUAGCCAACCAGCAAGUGUCAGAAAACAAAGAGGAUCUGUUUGGAAGGAGCAGGAUGUGGGACUGCUGUGAUAAGAGAUACUGCUCAGCGCAGAGGUGCAUGCAAAGCAGCUUCACAACUGCCUUUUCCUCAAAGCCUCAGCAGCCCCACUUCUCUACCCCAAAUAACAAGAAUAAGGCCACCGCACUUCUCUACAUCUGGAGAACACUUUAAAAAAAGCUUCAGGCGUGGGUCCUCUUUGGCUUCAGCUGCCUCCUGUCUCUCCGUGUCUGCUCUGCUCAUCACAGCUGUUGAUGGGUUCUCGCCGGCUGGCCACAGAAGACCAAUACUUCCAUCACACUGCUCAUACAGCUCUUGCUCUGGAGGAAAAUGAAGACAUCUUGGCCUUGUUGAAUUUGCUGCUGAAGUAAUACAUCAGGUAUCUAGAUGGAAAGCAAACCACAUGAAUAAAAUGUGUCAUCUGGGUUAGAUACUAAUUUAUUUGCCUUAAGUUCUGGGAACAAUAUUUGCACUUUUCCAGAGAACUCAGUUAAGUUCCAUAGAAACUGAAUACUAAUAUGAUUUCUGCAGCAUGGAAAACAAAUAUGAAACAGAAAAAAAAAAUUGACUCAUCAGAAAUAUUAGCUACUCAGUAUUAAAAUAUCUGACAAUGCUGCAAAUACAAUUUAUAAACAGGAACAUUUAGAGCCGAACUAUUCAUUGAAAAGCAAAUUCCUUGCUUGCUCCCUUUUAGGGUCAGGAUUCAAUUACAAAAAAAUAUGCAGCAGACUUAAGGACUGCAUGUAAGAUUAAGAUAACUGGUAUUUCAUGGUAAAUGAUUAAAUUAGCUGACACAGUUUUAUCCUGAACUUUGCCAUUAAAACUGACAUUUUUGUGCCACGCACAUUGUAGGCUGCUGGUAAUCUAAACUGCCUUUCUUCUUCUAAAGACUUUAAAUAGCUAAAGUACUCUUGUUCUUUACCCUAUUUGCAAAUGUGUGGAAAAUAUAUCUACAUCAUAACAAGAUGAACUAAGCACAGGAGCAGAGGACUUAAUAUUUCCUCAUCUAUCAUACAAAUACCUUAAGAAAACAGCAAGGAAGCUUCAAAUGCCCAGAUUCAGCUCUGCAACAUGCACUUUAAUCAAGUCGUUCAUGUGACUCUGCAAAGAUGAGAACAUGCUGUCCUCCUCACAGCUUGCUUUUUUACGCAAAGAGAGUUAUGAGAAUAAUUUUGGUAGAAAACAGCUUAUGAUCGGUCGGAUGAAGCACUGCCAGAGCUGAUGUCUGCAGUCACUUUCCCUCAGCUGAGCUAGCUGGGAAGGAGCAACUCAAUCCACUGCGAAGAUAUGUAGCCUCCAAAGCAAAGCACAGGCAAGGCCUGACUGAUCAGAGAUGGGCUUUGAGGGAGAUGAAUCUUCUGAGCAUUGCACUGAGUGCCUUUUGGAGGUGGGUGGGAAGCAAAGCCACCAAAGAGGCACUGUAGGAAUGAGGAGAGGAGGCAGGAUAAGCAGACAGCACAGUCCCACAAGAGGCCAAGGCAGAGAAUUUGAUCCUUCAGUCUUCGCACAGACUUAUCAGAAGUGUGUGCAUAACAGGAAUGUUACGGCCACAUUUCUAGAUUCCUUGUUAGCCACAGCUGGACAAGAUUUUGGACUCCUUUCUACAUCUUGGAUCUUCUGGCAGUUUUAAUAAAGAAGAAGAAAGACAACUUUUUGCACAGCACCUUCCUCAGGAGAUAGAAAUUGCAGUUAUACAACACUCCCACAGUCACACCACUAUCAUCAAAAGGUGACUUUCAGUGAAAAGAGACGGCUGUGAAGACAGCUUCUUUGUUAGCGAACUCGUGCAAAUGCUGAACAGUGAAAUGCAAUUUGAUUAUCAAAAAAUCAAACCAGUAUGAACAUUUCGCAAACUGUGUUAUUCAAUUCAAACUUCUUAGCUCUCCUCUAUCAUUUCUUGGUUCUUACAUGUUGUGAAAGAGACAUAAAUACUUUUACUUUAAACGUUGAAAACCCUUCACAUCAGAGGUUACAUGAAUCAUCUAGCCUUUUCUAUUCCAAAAUGUUUCACUGAUCAUUCAUUAUUAACUGAGUAAAAUGAAGAUAGCUAUGAUAAAUGAAAAUUUAUCUCAAAGUAUUAGAAAGAAUAUGAAAACACCAUGUUCGUAAGUACUAACGUUUAGAUAACACAAGAGAGUCCAACCCCAGUUUUUUCACUGUCACAUACCAUAUGGCUCUUAAUAACUCAUUAUUACCAUUUUUUGCUGUUCCUAGGCACUGGUAGUAUCAACCUGGUCUGCCAUUGAGCAGAAAUGCAUUCCAACAGGAGAACAGUGAAGGGACUGGAUGUUGACGGACAGGAAGCCUGCUGAUAUCAAAGAUUAGAACCUAACACAUGUCCAGAUUUUUUCUUAGCAAUAUACAUUCUCUACAAAUUCUACAUAAAUGUAUGUCCUGCUCUUGAUGAGAACGCUCAGAUUAGAGAAGAAGAAGCCUGUGGCCCUUUGCAGAUCUGAGAGUAAGGUCUCCUGAGUAACAGAGUAACUUGUGCUUUGUGCACAAGGGUUUGUGUACAGAACUUGUAGAUACCAUUACAAAAUAGUCAUUUUCGAGCAACUUGCCACAGAAAUGAGCAGAGCCUAGAGAGGAACCUUGCUGACAUAGACAAGAUAAGAAUCUAAGCUACCUUAUUUCAUGAGUCAAGAUUCUGGAUACAUCUUGUUCCUUGUCAUGUGUCCUUUCAUACAGAAAGGACAGAAGGACUGGAUUGAAGUUAGGAGGGCUACUUGAGAUGUGCUCCACAACUGAAUAUAUUUAGAAAAAAGUUUUCAUGCCAUUUUACUUGUUUGCCACUUAAAAUGUUUGUUUGUUUGUUUGUUUCAUUGCUGCCCUCUUCAGCUCAGGUUCUCCAGGGUGGCAGGUCAGGCCUAUGGAUGAGGGAAGCAGACAGAGACAGAAGUUGUGCAAAGCUGGUCAUGGACUUAAUAAGGGCUUGAUUCCGUACCAACGAAAUCAACAGGAGUUUGGCUCAUGUUUGCAAUGGGAGGUGGAUCACCGCUUUAUGCCAGCUGUUCCCUGUUGGGUAGGGAUAAUCCCCUUGAAACAAAAUAUUUAACUUGUUCUCACUCUGUUGAUGUAAGAAGGCUUCUUGUGAUAAUGCUUUCAUGAGAAUUAAAAGGUGUGUCCCAUUUUUAAUGUCAAAUACCUCAUACCUCUAGUAUAUAUUUGCCAAUUCACACACAUACACAAAAAAUAAAAAAAUCCAAGAAAUGAGACAUCUGCUGUUAGCCAUAUGGGUUUACAAAAAGUGCUACAGCAAUCUGAGGUGCAGGGUGUAUCCUCUAUUUGUUCUGCUUGCCAUGACUUGCAAUUUCCUCAGCUGGAAGAUGCAGCAAGGAGCCAGGUUAGUUCAACCAGCUGCAACUGAGGUGGGACCCACGGGCAGAUAUAAAGUAGCCAAGGCCACCGUAGGCAAAUAAGAUGACAGAAAAAUAAACUGCUAACUGUCAUGAAGGGAGUCAUGAAGAACAAAAUGUGGGAACAUUAUCAGACAGACAGAGAAACAGGAGCUGAGGGAGGACAGUAAUUAUGAUAAAAUCAGAUAUGUGUCCCACAGUCUGGAUCCAAGUAUAGCAUUUAGUCUCAGUUACAACAGUAUUUUGUUUCUACGUUUUACUGAGGAAACGAGGCUCUGACACUGCCCAGGUUGUGCCAUAGAUCAGCAGCACACUGUGGCUAUUUCUAGCUUCUGCAUGUAUUGGCGGAGUUCACAGGCACUGUGGAAGUGGGGUAUAUUUAUCCCAGCCUUGGUUUGGUUCACUCCUUCUCACCCCUCUGGCUGAGAUCCAUUUGGCUAGCAUACUUGGAACAUAAUGUCUGCUAAGCUUUAUAAAGCAAUUAUUUAAUUUGAAAAGUCUCUUUGAUUGCAUUCUAAUGAGAUUUCCAUAAAAAUAUAGAGUUCUCCACCUACUCCUGGGAACUUUUGUUUACUCCAUAAACUAUGACUCUUUUCAAAAAGCUCCAGAAGACUUCAAGAGUGGAAGCUUCCAAAGACAGAAUUGUUUGGUCUGGCAUCUGGGAACUGAGAUUUCCAUAGACUUACAUUCUCCAGAAGCAGAAAAUGUAUGGAAUUGUUUGAGCUUAAGAAAUUAGGACACCUGUACAGAAUGAAAGGAGGAAUUGAGAGAGACAACAGCAAAGCCGGGAGCUGCAUCCUGCUCUCUGUUCCAAAGAACAUUCCCCUUACAGAUUUUUAUGGCCCUCCCAGCCCUAAUAUUAAACACUUGACCUUUUUGUCAAAUACUAUUUUAAAUUAUUAGGUUGGCUGAUUAGUUACUAAAUAUACCAUAUGUAGUAAAUAGGAAAUUGUGUAGUCCAGUGCUACAGUCUCAGACCUUUCAGGUAUUGCUCCCUUGGCAUUUAGUGUCAGAACAUUGAGUCCCCUUGUAUUAACUUAAGCCACUUGGUUAGCAAGGAGUGCAUGGCAUUUUCACACAGGGUGUAGUGAUUUCUGAGGUAGCAUGACUAGAAUGUUCUCCUUCCCUUACAGCAUGUUCUCCUUCCCUUAUAGCAACCCCCUCCCAGUCCCUAACAGAUACCUUUAGUGAAAGUGCUGUAAACACUGAGAAACCAGCUCAUGCCAAACAAUACAACCUAGACUGACUAUAAAUAAGUGCAUUUACCUUUAAACUUCUGUAAACUGGUCCUUUGCAAUUGUUUCUGCCCUGUACCCCUCUCCCAGAUGAGCUCUUCCACUCAUACUCCUUCCUCUCCAGCACAAAUCAGCAUGCCCUGCACAGGAAGCAGAAUUGAUGUAUUUGCUUUUUCACCUCUACUUCCAUAUCUCAGUCUGGGAACGCCUGCUGUAAAACUAACCCCUCUCCCUCAUACAUCCCACUUAAAAUAUUUGGAUUUAAAAGCACGUGGCUACAAACAAUAUGACAGACACCCUGAACUACUAGUGAAUAUUUAUAGGAGUUUCAGAAGUACAAAAAAUAUCAAACUUUUUCCUGGAUCUUAGAAUGGUUUUAAUUGAAGCAGAAAAAAAAAAUAGGGCAGAAAUAGUCCUGUUUAGAGGACAAGCUGCCUGAAGAAGGAAAAAAAAAGAGCCUUAUUAAUAAACACAGUGGAACAUACUUAGAAGAGCACCCCAUGGAGCCCAUGUAACUUAUUAUAUAGUAUAAGACUCAGGUGCGACACAGCAGAGAAACUGUUGAUUUGGACAACUGAUUCCUCGCUUCCAACAAAUAACAGAACUGCUUAAUUCAUCAGCAGAUUGGAACUGCUUAUGAUCUCUGAAAUAUGAGACUGGUACAGCUCCAGACAUUUCAGGACGAUCACCUACUUUACACCACAGUGACAGUUGAAGUCUGGACUAUUAGAUUUAAUAAAACCAGGUGCUCUAAGUCCUAGCAUAGAAUUACUCUUUUAUUAUUACUAUUAUUACAAGAUAUUCCUUUUUACCCAAGCAAAGCCUGAGGAAUCACCCACUUAUGUGGGCAACUGUGGCACAGGACUGGGCCUCGGAUAUGCAGAGCAGGAAUUGUAUUUUCUUUGAUUAUGCACUAGUGUGAUGGAGGCAGUCUAUGCACAAACCAGAUAAAACUACUCUUCUUCCUGCAGGAAGUUUAAUUUCUUGCUAAUUAAAAUGGGUGUGUUUGAGUACGACAAGAAUUGGGAAAAAAAAGCACUUAGAAGUCCAGCACAUCUAAAAUCACACAACCAAAUUGUUAAUGAGCAACGAAUCUUAGCUAGGAGAACCACAAUUCUCCUGUUACUUCUGUAUGCUUUUGUUUUUAAUAAUAAUAAUAAAAUAUUACUGAGGCUAGAAAUAACCCACUGCAGUUAAAGAAUGGCUGUUUAGCAAACCAUUAUUUCCAAAAUAAACUACUGAUAUCCUGCUGUGAUCCAGUAUCUGCCAAGCUGAGUUCCUCCUGUCUCUCCUUCUCCCAGAUGCCAUCUGUGUUGCCUACUUUACCUCUUGGCACGCGUCAGGGCAGUGACACGUGACAAGGUGAAGCUUAAGGCAGCUCCUAGUCAUGGCUUACAACAACAACAACAUGCAAUAGCAGAAAUGCAGCAGCUCAGAGUUUGCUCCCUAGGCAUCGUACAAGUAUUGCCAAUCCCUGACAGCCACAGAACAAGAAGGUUUGCUGCAGGAUCAGCAAUCCUAUCUGCUAAGUGUUUCAGUACAGAAGUGCUGAAAGACCUGGACAUUCAUCCCUUGAUUACAGGACAUCUUGAUGCAGGUACAGCCAGUUUCUGGCCUUGUUCAUCUCCUGUAUAAGUAGGUGCAGAAAUGGACAUGAAGAAGGAAAAGCAGUUAACAAAACAAGACAAAAUAAAAUAGUUAUGCCACACCUUAGAUCUAUUACAAUUCUUUUUACUGCUGCCACUCCAAUCCUUUUGUCUUUGUUUAGCCUUUAAGAUACUGACACCAAGGAGAUCCAAAAAAAGGUGAGACUUUUUGGAACACAGCAGGUUCACUUACACCAUUUAAGAGCUAGGCUCAAGAGGUACAGUCACUGUUUAUGCCUCUACAGGCCUUGGUCCAUUGGUUUUACUGAUUACUAAAUCUUUUUUGUUGAAGACAAAGAAUUCUACGUAACUGCAGUGCUACCUUGACCCUUGGAACCCAGGAAGCUCUUCCAGGACUACAUGAGUACAGAGCAAAACAAGAAAGUAAAAGCUACCUUGAUGUUCAUGCUUAAUACAGAGAGCUAUCUUUGUUGAAGGCCACUGUAAUACUUUGGAUCACAGAUACAAAAAAGCCAUAGAUACACAAAACAGUUUAAAACACAUGAUGAAAUUUGCCAUCUUACCCACUUAGGAUCUGAAUCAGUAACUUUGUUAAAAUGUGUGGCUUACCAGAGGAUUUCCAGAGAAUGAUUUGACUUGCAUAACUGCCAUUAGCUGUACCCAUAAAGAGCCAUUUCUAAAACUAUUAAAUUGAUGAGCUUUUCCCAGGUAGGUGAAAGUUGGAUAACAGAGCUUAAACACAAAGUCCCUAGCAGGAAGUCUGCAGCACAGCUGUAAAGAGUAUGCCAAGGGUCCUGGCACCUUAAUGCAGCAGGCUAGAUCACUACAACUCCCCCAGCUGAAAGCCAUCUAAUUAGUUAGAUGUCAAUCACAAAGUAGGCUGUAAAGUUAUUUUCAAGACCUAGUGGACAUUAGCCAAUUAUCUGUAGAAAAUCAUGUGAUUCGUUCUCAGAAUUGGAAUUAAAAAAAGAUUGGAUUUCACUAAAUCAGUCAUCCUAUCUGAAGGACUGUGUUUCUCAGUGUACCCAAAGGCAUCUGCUGACUCCCACAGGUAGCCUCAGUGCAAGAUCUCUCUCUGUUGAUAGUAAGGGAACCAUUCCACAUUUAUAACUGACUUUUAGCAGAAAUCAGAAUUUAGAUUAUUUCUCUAGAAGCCUGUUUCUCAGUUACACCAUUUUCAAAUUUUGUUCUCAUGCUGCUUGUUUUUCAAGCUCAACUUGUGAUCUAUCCUAUAGCUUUCCAUAGUCAACCAAAUUUGUGAAUGCGUUUGUAUUCUUCAAUAUUUCCCAUGGAGUUCAGAUGGUUUUAGUUGGUACGGAACAAACAUACAAGGCUAUCUGAUAGAAACCCUCAUGGCCUUUGGCCAAAACGUAUGUUGUUGCUGUCAUCUUGUUUUGUUAUGGUUGACCAUUUCUUCCAUUACAUCUAGCAGAAAGGAUAACACAGGCUACAUUUGCGGAGAAGCAACUUUCUUAUAUAUCAGACCAAUGCAGUGGCUCUGCUUCCUCAGCUAGGAUUGUCAGGAUUGUUACCUCAACCAGCCUUGUCCCAUCUGCCCACCUGUGUAAGUGUCAUCAAAGUCACUCCACUGCAGCCAGGAUGUCUUGAGAAAACAGUCCUGCUGAACAAGUCUGAUCUCCUUGAUCACAAAUUUCUAAUGAUAACUAAAACUUG
ensembl:lncRNA